CCUACGGGCGACAGCAGUGGGGAAUAUUGCACAAUGGGGGAAACCCUGAUGCAGCGACGCCGCGUGAGUGAAGAAGUAUUUCGGUACGUAAAGCUCUAUCAGCAGGGAAGAAAAUGACGGUACCUGACUAAGAAGCCCCGGCUAACUACGUGCCAGCAGCCGCGGUAAUACGUAGGGGGCAAGCGUUAUCCGGAUUUACUGGGUGUAAAGGGAGCGUAGACGGCAGGGCAAGUCUGUGGUGAAAUCCCAUGGCUUAACCAUGGAACUGCUUUGGAAACUGUGCAGCUAGAGUGCAGGAGAGGUAAGCGGAAUUCCUAGUGUAGCGGUGAAAUGCGUAGAUAUUAGGAGGAACACCAGUGGCGAAGGCGGCUUACUGGACUGUAACUGACGUUGAGGCUCGAAAGCGUGGGGAGCAAACAGGAUUAGAUACCCUAGUAGUC
rnacentral:rRNA from 1 species